UUUCCGUAGGUGAACCUGCGGAAGGAUCAUUACUGAACUGUCAAGCGUGGGUUGUUGCUGGUCCUCGAACGGGGGCAUGUGCACGCUCCGUUUACACAUCCACUCACACCUGUGCACCCUCUGCAGUUCUACGGUCUGGGGGACACCGUCUCCCUUCCGUGGUUCUGCGCCUUUACACAUACACUGUAACAAAGUCUUGUGGAAUGUGUGCCGCGUUUAACGCAAUACAAUACAACUUUCAGCAACGGAUCUCUUGGCUCUCGCAUCGAUGAAGAACGCAGC
rnacentral:misc_RNA from 1 species